rnacentral:rRNA from 1 species
CCUACGGGAGGCUGCAGUGAGGAAUAUUGCACAAUGGGGGGAACCUUGAUGCAGCCACACCGCGUGGGUGAGGAAGUACUACGGUAUGUAAAGCCCUGUCAGCAGGGAAGCAAAUGCUGGUACCUGACCAAGAAGCCCCGGCUAAAUACGUGCCAGCAGCCGCGGUAAUACGUAGGGGGCAAGCGUUAUCCGGAUUUACUGGGUGUAAAGGGAGCGUAGACGGCAAGGCAAGUCUGGAGUGAAAGCCCGUGGCCGAACCACGGGACUGCUGUGGAAACUGUGUUGCUGGAGUGCAGGAGGGGUAAGCGGAAUUCCUAGUGUAGCGGUGAAAUGCGUAGAUAUUAGGAGGAACACCGGUGGCGAAGGCGGCUUACUGGACUGUAACUGACGUUGAGGCUCGAAGGCGUGGGGAGCAAACAGGAUUAGAUACCCGUGUAGUC